UACGAAGGUGGCAAGCGUUGUUCGGAUUUACUGGGCGUAAAGGGAGCGUAGGUGGUUAGGUAAGCCCUCCGGGAAAUCUUCAGGCUUAACCUGAAAAGGUCGGGGGGGACUGCCUGGCUAGAGGACGGGAGAGGAGCGCGGAAUUCCCGGUGUAGCGGUGAAAUGCGUAGAGAUCGGGAGGAACACCUGCGGUGUAGACGGCUUUCUGGACCAUUGUUGACGCUGAGACACGAAAGCGUGGGUAGCAAACAGG
rnacentral:rRNA from 1 species